UACAGAGGUCCCAAGCGUUGUUCGGAUUCACUGGGCGUAAAGGGUGCGUAGGCGGUUGGGUAAGUCUGUCGUGAAAUCUCCGAGCCUAACUCGGAAACUGCGUCGGAUACUAUCCAACUUGAGGAGUGGAGGGGAGACUGGAAUUCUCGGUGUAGCAGUGAAAUGCGUAGAGAUCGUGAGGAAGACCAGUGGCGAAGGCGGGUCUCUGGACAGUUCCUGACACUGAGGCACGAAGGCCAGGGGAGCAAACGGG
rnacentral:rRNA from 1 species